UGGGGAAUCUUGGACAAUGGGCGCAAGCCUGAUCCAGCCAUGCCGCGUGAGUGAAGAAGGCCUUCGGGUUGUAAAGCUCUUUUACCAGGGACGAUAAUGACGGUACCUGGAGAAUAAGCCCCGGCAAACUUCGUGCCAGCAGCCGCGGUAAUACGAAGGUGGCAAGCGUUGUUCGGAUUUACUGGGCGUACAGGGAGCGUAGGCGGUUGGGUAAGCCCUCCGUGAAAUCUCUGGGCUUGACCCAGAACGGCCAAGUGAAACUGUCAUGCUAGAGUGCAGAAGGGGCAAUCGGAAUUCUUGGUGUAGCGGUGAAAUGCGUAGAUAUCAAGAGGAACACCUGAGGUGAAGACGGGUUGCUGGGCUGACACUGACGCUGAGGCGCGAAAGCCAGGGGAGCAAACGGGAUUAGAUACCCAAGUA
rnacentral:rRNA from 1 species